CAGCGGCAGCCCCCGGUCAGGACCAUGGACAGCGGCAGCCCCGGUCAGGACCAUGGACAGCGGCAGUCCCGGUCAGGGACAUGGGGACAGCGGCAGUCCCGGUCAGGGACAUGGGGACAGCAGCAUUCCUGUCGGGGAUAUGGGACAGCAGCAUUCCUGUCGGUACCUGGGACAGCAGAAUUCCUGCCAGGACUUUGGAAGGCAGCAUUCCUGUCGGGACCUGGGACAGCAGCAUUCCUGUCAGGGACAUGGGGACAGCAGCAUUCCUGUCGGUACCUGGGACAGCAGAAUUCCUGCCAGGACUUUGGAAGGCAGCAUUCCUGUCGGGACCUGGGACAGCAGCAUUCCUGUCAGGGACAUGGGGACAGCAGCAUUCCUGUCGGUACCUGGGACAGCAGAAUUCCUGCCAGGACUUUGGAAGGCAGCAUUCCUGCCGGGACCUGGGGCAGCAGCGUUCUGCCAGCGCCCGCAGCUGUUUCUGGUUUUGAUCAGGAACUGAAGGCAGCGAUUCCAGGCCCCCAGCACAGAUGCCUCUCCUGCAGUAAAUGUGUCCCAAAGGGGGUGAGAGCUUUGCUGGAAGGUUUUAAUUUUCUCUGCAGGUAAAAGCCAUUUCUGUGCUGCUUUGGAAUGAAACCAAAAAGAAAUCGUGCCUGAAUGAGCUUUCUGUGUCAGAGCACAGCUCUGGCUGACAGAAACCUGGGGGACUGGAGGGAGCUGAAGCUACACAUGUUUUUUGGGUUUUUAAAAUUCUUUUUCUUCAGGGUUGUUGAGAUUACCUUGGGAACGUGCUGUGGUCUCUCGGGCUGGCCCAGCCCUGUCUCUGUUCCAGUUUUGUUCGUGUUCUGUGACUCAGCAGAGGCUGAAGCAGCCCAGCUGUGCCUGGGUUUGGCAGGGUUGGUUGUCCCCUGCCCCAUCUGAGGACACAGCCAGGUGUCCCCACUGCCCAGAGCACGGGCUGGGCACCAGUCUGUCCAUGGGAGUGACUUCUGAGCAGCCCUGGUGGCUGUGACUGUCCAGCAGUGGGACAGAGGCUUGGUUACCCCAGCAGCCUGUGAAUAACGAGUAUUACAGUUCAAUGGGGAUGAACUCUCUGUGUGCUACAGCACUCAGUGCAGUUCAAAUAUCAAUUUAAUAAUUUUAAUUCAAAUAUCUUGUCACGGGCCUUGCUGCACGUCCAGUGAGUUACUCUGUAAAGCUCAGGUGAUUUACUGACGCUGCUCUUGCCAUCUGAAUCACUCUCUUCUCUCCAUUGUUAGGGCUCUGUCACCUCUCAUAUUUAACUCUGCCAUCAGCUCUCCCUCUCUUGAAGGUGAAGUCACUUCAGACUGUUUCAGAUUCCUCAGAGUGAGUUUGGAAGUACAGAGGAAGUGUAAAUGGGAUUUAAACUGCAUUCCUGUGAUGGUCACUGGAAACUGGGAUGUUGAUUCUUCACUUACCCCAAAACAAGCAAACAAAACCUUUCAACUGAAUUUUAUUCCUGUGACAGUUUGAUUUCAAAUCUCAUGUUGUUUGGUGCUGACCAGACACUGAAGUAUCAGCUGAAAACUUCAAUGGAAACUUCAGGAUUUGCAGCCACUCCAUGCACCCAGACCAGACUGAGAGGGGUCUUUGAUCACCAGAAGUUAAUUAUGAAAGGAGGAAGGGAAGACUCAUUCCAAAAGUGGAUGGUUCUUAAUGCUCCUGGCAAACUGGCAGUGGGUUUUGGGGAGUCUCCCAAAGGAAAAGAGUGUCACAGCCAUGGCAGCUCUGCACAGGCAGGCAUUUCCAGCUGCUGCUAACACCCAUGGGACCUAAGCUCCUCAGGAUGUUUUCCCUCUGCACCUCAGGAAGCCAGCACAUCCCCAGGCAGACUGGAAGGUGUAAAAUAUGAAAUAUCCCUGUCAGAGCUGCUGCCAGGUGUGUUCCCCAGGAGGGGCUGGAGCCCAGCCCAUGCUGCUGAUGUGCCAGCCUGCCCCUGCAUUGCAUCCAGAACCUGCAGCCCUGCUGGAUGGAGAGG